rnacentral:rRNA from 1 species
GCCGAACGCUGGCGGCGUGCCUAAUACAUGCAAGUCGAACGCAGUGGGGACGGGUGAGUAACACGUGGGUAACCUCCCAUCAGAGGGGAUAACACUUGGAAACAGGUGCUAAACCGAUACUGAUGGAUGGACCCGCGGUGCAUUAGCUAGUUGGUGAGGUAACGGCUCACCAAGGCCACGAUGCAUAGGCGACCGUGGAGGGUGAUCGGCCACACUGGGACGGAAACACGGCCCAGACUCCUACGGGAGGCAGCAGUAGGGAAUUUUCGAAAAUGGACGAAAGUCUGACGGAGCAACGCCGCGUGAGUGAAGAAGGUUUUCGGAUCGUAAAACUCUGUUGUUAGAGAAGCGGUAUAAAACCAGAAAGACAAGGAUAACUACGUGCCAGCCGCCGCGGUAAUUC